UUUCAUCUGGAGAAAUAUUUGAUUGAUCAUGUUGUUAUAUCUACUAAUGCCUCUCUUUAUACAUCAUACAAAGUUAAACUAAUAGAGAGCAAAGUUGAUUGGAGUUGACAGUCUUGGCAUGGAUGUCAGAGUUCUCUCGGGAACAGAAGUGCAAACUCAUCGUUUCCCCUUCAAAGUUAGGGCAACAUCAGAGGUUGCUGCUGAGAAACAGAUCCGGCAGCUUCUGUUUCCCAGGUCCCGUCGCAAAAAGUUUAGGACUCCCGAAAGAGCUGGAGAUUUGGACUCACUUUAAAUUUAAUCUUACUGUUUGGGAGCAGAUCUUGUGAAUAAACGUAUUAUCUAUAUUUCAAUAAAUUCUUGCAUGCAGUUGGUUCUCA